UAUUUUUCGAAAACUGAGGACCUGCGCGGCUAGUGACGCAGACCCCGCCCGCUGCGGGUGGGCGAACCCUGUUUUUGUUUUUUUUGAAGAAUUUAUUUUCUUUCGAGGGAUGCUCGGAUUUAGUUGCAACCUGAAUGUGGGCUGACAACGUGCUUAGACGGGCCAUUGUCUCGUGGUCAUCAUCUUUCAUGGUUUUGAGCUAGUCUUUACGGCUCAAUUUCGCCACUACUCGGUCUUUGAUCAGAGGACCAUGUACAAGCGUCGACGGCGACCUUUAUUCUGAGGUCGAAAUCCGUUUUUUUUCUUUUGAGAUUAUCCAAACACGGGACUUUGUACAGCGUAGUCUGGGAAUAUUGUUUUAACUUUGCAUACUUUUUUUUUUUGAAAUAUAUAUUUUCUUUCGAGCCCCCAAGCAUUCGUGCUUGACGGUCAGUUCUUGUCAAAGAGGUUCCUUGGGGAUACGCAUUCUGUAGUGUCCUUGAUUGUGUUUGGGAUUGUGCUCGUAAGUGGGAGCGACCUUUGUAGUGGUGUGCUACUUUUAACAAAGCCUGUGAGGUGCGACUUUCAAAAAUCGGCAAUUUUCGAGUCGAAUGGAUGCGGCAGGGCCCCAUAGAAGUUAGGGCCUUUUUUUUGAGCCUGGGUUCAUUUUUGGCGCCCGGGCCUCGGCGUUGAAAUAAUUCACACCUAGGUGGGGCGUUGAAAGUGUUGUUUGGGCUAGUCUUUUGAUGACACAGUUGGCCUCUUGUUCAUUCGUUGAAGGGACCGCUCUUGUUGUUGUAUAUUUUUCCUUUUGAACGCGUUCGUGAAUGUUUGAUACUUAGAAUGAUGAUAUGUAUGUGCGAACGAGCAUUCAUAGAAUGGCCGUUGUGUGCAGUCCAUUAAUCAGUUUGCUUGAAUCAUUUUUUUUUUUGAGCAAUGACUGAUUUUGAAUAGUUUGCUUAGAAGCUUGAAAGGGUUCAGGCCCAUUCAUGAAGUGGGCUCAAACAUCGUGCCCUUUCAUUUGGUCAAACAUUUGCUUCGAGAUUUUUUAUUUUGCUAUGGUUGUUUCGUAGCUUGGAGCCCCCAAGUAUGCAUGUUGGGACGCUUCCUUUUGGCGUACGAUUUUUGUAGGUUCUUUCGAGAAAGAUGCCUCCGGGUUUCGCUCGUGUAGGUGCGAGCUAUCCCUUCCGUGGUAGGUAAUGUUUUGCUACCUUUAAUCCUUAAUGUAGGAGUCGUGUGGCUUGCAUUUGGGCGAUAAGUAGUCUUUGCCUCUUUUACACAUGCUCUUGGUCGUGCCCGCAUUUGUGCAAUAUGCCUUACUCUUUUUUUUAGACUUGUACCGUGGGACGGUUGAACUUAUGGUGCGACGUAGGCUUGUGUGGCCUAACAGCGUGUCUUAGAACAUUCCUCCAGGUGUUGGGAUAUCAUUAUUAUUUUUGAAUUGGAGUACUUCAUCAUCCCUCGUUCAGGUGUUCGAACAAGUGUAGCACCUUCUGCGUGGGUUUGCACGGCUUAUUACUUCGUUCGAUGCGAGGAUUCAUAGGUGUUUCUUUCUUAUUUUUAUAUCUGGGCAAAACUUGGCUAGCAGAAAGAUUCAGCGCCCGGGCUGGGGCGUUAAAGAUAUCGGCGCCCAGCUUUUGGCGUUGAAAAUGAUUUCUGGGUAUAUUUUGACAGUUCUUAUCCUUGAUUUUUUUUUCUUUCGCUUUUGCUUUGGAACGAGGUAGACUGUGUAACGGGCGCUUGUAGGGCGAGCGUUAUGUGCAGUAGUUUGAUCGGAGUUUUGGUGACUCGCGAUUUUCAGUUACCCUUGUUAGUAGGGUGACUUUAUAUAUUCUAAGUAGCGCUUAGAAUUUGGGAGGGGUUGUAGCCAUUCUAAGGUUCGUUUUACGCGAUUAAAGCUUAGGAUUGUGCCCCUAUGACAUAUAUAUAUAGCAUUAGCGUCGAGAAUUUGCGAUGAAAUCGUCAUUUCGAGCAUCUUUAGAGUGUUUUUCUCAAGCCUCCAACUGUAGCUACGGGAUUGGCUUGGUGCUAUAAUGCCUUGCAUACGUUUUUGUGCAUUCAUGGUGACAUGGAUCAUGAAUAGUUUGAACCAGACUCGUUUAGUGCGAGGUACGUUCGAGUAGUGAUUUGCUACUUCUCUUGUAAAUGUCGUAUUGUGCGACAUUGCCAUGGUCAAGGUAAUCACAUGUUGAAGUGUGCCUUGACCAAAAGCUAGGUGCCUUUCUUUACCCAUAAUCAUAUUUAGAAAUAUCUUUGACUCACUCGCAAAACGCGUACUUAGAUUAAACCAAUGACACUUUAUUAUGUUCGAAGAAGUCUUUGAAAAUUAUUUGAAAUCCGAGUCCUACUGUGUACAAUCCGAGGUGUCCUAAGUAGGUUGACUUAUAGAAGGGUUCGUACAGAAUGAGUGAAUCAAAAUACUGUUACGAUUUUGGAAUGCUGUCUAAGGAUUUGCUGGAAGCCAGGGUGCAGGUGUCAAGAUAUUACUUGUGCCCGUUUGGCAUAUGCUUUUAGGUUUUUAGGGCUACAUUUUCCAGAAUUGCGGGAAUAUAAACCGUUUUCAAAUUGACUUAGAUUUACUUCACUACUACAAAAAGUAUGGUUUCACGACACAAGGUGUUCGACGCUUGGACAUCAACGUUGGGGAAAAUACCAGUUCCCGCCUUUUCUCGACGCCUUAUGUUGUCGAACAUUUUCUCAACACCUUUCUGUGUCGAGAUUCCACGUGCCUUGCACGUGUUUAGUAAUUUACAGAGUAGUAUUACUAUCAGAGUAUCAGUACUCGUAGAAAAAAAACCCUAACUUAUUUUCAUUCAUUUCGCUAGAGAAAAUCGCUUAAUUCCUCCCAUUCACUUCACCAUUGUCGAUGUUCAGGUUUGUCGGCUUUCAAUUCCUAUUUUUCUUCAUUGAAUUCUUCAUCUUUGACCUUGUCAACCCUCACGCGUUACAGUGGCGGAAAACCCCAUUAGAGAUUCAUUUUUUUUAAAGGCCCUCGGAGAUUCAUCUAAUUCAGAUUCAAUCGUGUUUUCUUCCGACCUUUGUUCUCAAACCUUAUUAUUUCUUGUUCUCCACUGAGUUCUCCAUUUCUUGAAAUUCUCAUUGAAUGUUAUGUGAUUGUGUAUAAACGUGACGAUUGUGGAAAAAUAUAUGUAGAAACAUGUUAUUAUUAUGUUAAUUUUGAUAAACUCUGACUCUUAUUUUCGACUUGGUACUAUCUUAUGAAUAUUAAUUGUUAAGCAUCUAGAAUAAUUGAUUGAUCGAAUUUCUAGGGAUUAUUUUAUUUAUGCUUGUUCAUUGUUCAAGUUUUCAGAUUUGUCUUCUUUUGUGGUGUUUGAAUGGAUUUUACUAAGUAAUCUUUAGGCUGAAUUUAUUUUAAUUAUAUUAUUGAUCCUUUCAAUUGCAUGAUGGUAAUUUUUAGGUACUCAAUUACUCAUGUCCUUUCGUUCCUAUUUAAUUAGUCAUUUUAGGAUAAUAAUAUGUGUUGUAAUGUUGGUCUUGUUCUACCAGGGUAGGUAACAAGGAUGAAUUGCAAGUGUGUAUAUGAGCUGUUUUGAGACUUUGAGUGUUAUGUUUGUAUAUGAAUGUGAAAGUGAAGGUUAAUAUUGUAGAGUGUUUUGAGAUGUUAGUGUGUCACUAGAGUUGGAUCAAGUCCUACAUCUGUUUUGUCUAAAGAAGAACACAUUUCUUUAACCCCAUGUACUAUGUAUAUAAGAGGUUGUAAUUAUCCUCGUUUGGAUUGCUACUUGAUUUCAUUUUCAUUCUAUGCAAAGAUUACAAACUAACAGUGCCUAAAAACGUUGUACACAGAGUCUUGUUUCUCUUGAUAUGAUACAUUCUUAUGUUGCUUACACAAGCAUGAUAUGCAGAAAGUCCAAAAGCAAGUUAGUUUAGCUUCCAUGUUACCGCAUAUGUUAUAGUAGGACUUAGAUAAAGAUCAAUUUUUCUUUUUGUUGGAUUCAUUAAAUCUGCUUAUUUUACAAGAUUUUUACUCAGGAAUCAGUUUUCUUUUGAUCAAUAGGUUUGAAUGGUCAAUGGGAUAUAGCUAUCUGGAUUUUAUGUAUACUUGCCUCCAUUGUUUUAUUAUAGAAUUUGAAUAUGAUACUCGCAAACUAAAGAAUACUCUGUAACGAACAAAGGGUAAACAAGGUCCAUACUAGGUGGAAGACUUGUGUGUACAUACUGCUCUCAAUAUCGGAUAGUGUUUUGACAAGGAAGCAGUAGAUGAAUCGUUGAUCUUCAAGCUGUUCUAGGCAACAGGUAUUAUUUUCACAAAUUACAAAUUUUCUUAGUAUUUUGGGUUUGGAUCGUAUUAGAUGAAGUAAAUAAUGUCAAAUAUACAUCUCAAGACAUCAAAUCACUAAAUUUAUGGAUGUUAUUCAUAUAGAAUUUGAAAACUAAAAUUGCUUAUAUAUAUGGGUAAUUUACACUUGACCCAAUUGCGUUGUGCUUUUGAGUAUGUAAUCUGUUAACAGUUUACAGUAGGGUUAUGGCAAAUUUUUGUUUCCCAGAAAACCAGGGUUUAAUUUAACACUUACUCCUAUUUAACAAGGGUUAUGCAUAGGUUUUUUCCGUCAAUAGUUGUUUAACAUCUCUAACCCAUGGGUUUAAGGCAUUAAAAUAUUUGAAUGUCUAUCAGAGGCAUCCAUAUUACAUGUGCAAAUUUUUUUAAGUGUUUAUUACUUGAGGUAUUGUUUUAAUGAGGAUUAGUAUAUGUGACUAUUAACUAUAUAUAUAUAUAUGACAGAAUGACUUAUCGGCAUACAUUUGAUGUACAAGAUACUAACCAAAAAGUGGUUUAUACUGCUAAGAUUUUACCUAUUUGGUAUGAUAAGACUACUAUAAUGAGCUACUCCUGACCUCUUAAGUAUACUCCAGUCGGCUGAGAUGUUAGUUUGCAUCUAAUUGAAACUUGUAUUCAUGAUGGAGAGAAGAUUGAAUUAGAGGGUAUUUCAGAGUUUGUCAUGGAUCAUUUAGUGAUUUAGAGUGUAGUCCUCAUUUCCUGACCUGAUAAGAAAUCAUCGAUUUUUGAGAAAUGGAUUUAACAACUCAAACUCAUUACUGGAUCAAAAUUUCUGGUUACUUUAACAAGUUUAUUAGGCUUAUAGUAAGUUAACUCGGCUUUUGGUGGGGUAUUAAACAGGUGUUAGCACCAACAUCUAGCCAUUCUCUAAGGAGAAUCCUACUGCCUACUAAAUAUUUAAGUCCAUCACCAACUGCGUGGCCCCAUGUACAAUCCUACUCCAUGCCCAUAUUUUGUGCCCAGACUAGUGCAAACUCCACUGCAAAGUCCCAACUCUCAGCAUCAUGGACUGACUACCAGGUCAACAUGACUUGUGACGCCACCUUUAAUUCAAAGCCUGCGUAGGUGCAAGUGGAACAAACCAGGAAAUCUUAUUGUGGGGGGAAUUUGAAAACCAAGAAAGAGGCAUUGUGGUGGUCUUAUAAGAUUAGGGAAAGAUAAAUAUAAAAAGAUAAAGAGGCAUUUUACUAAUAUGAACACCUAAUAUUGAAUUACAUUGGUUGCCUUUUUGAGGUAAUCAGAAAAAAACUCACUCUGCAGCUGUAGAUAUUUGUCAUUCCCUGUUUUUGCUUUAUUCCAUGUAUUUACUACAUAUUUGAACAAAGAAUUAAAAGAUGGCCUCAUACAUUGUUUGAAAUGGUCUGUGUUGGUGUUGGUGUUUGUGUUUGUGUUCUUCAUGGGUACUUCUAUUUUAACCCAAUUCCCUAGAAGAAAGAUUAACAGCCUAACAAAAUAAACUUCUCCAUAAGAGGAUAAAGCAUACCCUAUCCCUGCAAAAACAUCAGGAAUGAGUUUACCAACUGAGCCAAUGAAUUGGUAUUGUUCUUCCAACAUUCUACAUACAAGCUUCAAGCAGACUGUUUUGGAGUUUUCUGCGAUAGAAGGGACUGAACAUAAAGCAACAACAACAAGAAGUCAAGAACGCCUUAUGCAAAUAAAGACGUUCUUUUCUUAGCACCAAACUGGUCAGAAGAAAUGUGAGCAAUGACCUCCAUGGCCAAAUCAAUCAAUGCUAACGAGGGCUUGGAUGAUUUUCUUAGCCAUACAUAAGAAGUUUGAGAAUAAGUACAUUGACUUCUUUUUGAGGUAAUCGUAAAAAAAUUAUAGUCUGCAGCUGUGGAUGUUUUUCGUUCCCUGUUUUGCUUCAUUCCAUGUAUUUACUACAUAUUUGAACAAAGAAUUAAAAGAUGGCCUCAGACAUUGUUUGAUAGGGUCUGUGUUUGGUGCUUGUGUUCUUGAUAUGUGCUUGAGAGUGUGUGCGUGAGGGUGAUGUCUGGUAGUGUGGGCACAAGGUGCAAUGACGAGCAUAUUAUUGCAGGGGUGCAAUGGGCUUGCUUUAAGUGAAUACAUGACCAAGUUUUUACAUAUUGUACUUUAAUUUCAGAAUUUUAGACUAUAAAUAUCUUGUCUAUUUGGUGCUCAUAUUAGAAUAAUAGCUCUUUGUUCUAGAUUUUGUGUUGCCUGAAUUGUAUGCUUCAAUAUCUGUAGAAUUUUAGAAUGUUGGGAGUUUAGAACUUUAGAUAUUUGGGAGAAAUCAUCUUGUUUUGGAGGCCUUGUUAAUAUGGGAUAAUUUGAUGCUGUUAUUCAUGAAUGUUAGUGGUGAUCAAGUGAGUUCCUCCGAUAACCAAUGUACGAGGGUAGCAGAAUGUGUUUUCAACCUUUGAUAGGUUUUCAGUUUUUGCAUACUAACGAAGGCUGGAAGUUAAGUAGAACUUUCCAAACAGAUUUCACACUCAAGUUAUAGCUGGAAGGUUUGCAUUUUGUUUAAUUUGUACUCCAGUCAAAGGAAUAAGAGCAUUAUUUGUAUUCUUUAUUUGCACUCUUAAUUUUGAAGUUCUUACAUUGUCUACAGGAGUAAUAACAUGGGACUUGAACUAGUUUACAACGGUCGUCCAACGUGACAAAGAAGACGCGCAAGGACACGACAAAGAAGACGCGCAAGACUUGAGCUUCACAAAGCUACUACCAUCAUAUAUAUAGUUAGAUCUUAGUUUUUCUAGGCUUUAGUUCUUUGGUUUAGUAGAUAUUAUUUAGAUAUUUAAUGAUAUUUUGGUUAGUGACAUUUAUGUAUUAUGGAUUUUGGCUAGUAAAAUGUGUGUACUAUAGUCUAUGGAUACUAACUAGCUACUUCUAAGGUUUUAUUAUUAAGUUAAUUUUAUUGAAGACCAAUUAUUCAAAAUUCAAGUUUCAUUAUUGA